UACGAAGGGGGCUAGCGUUGUUCGGAAUUACUGGGCGUAAAGCGCACGUAGGCGGAUUGUUAAGUGAGGGGUGAAAUCCCAGGGCUCAACCCUGGAGCUGCCUUUCAUACUGGCAAUCUCGAGUCCGAGAGAGGUGAGUGGAAUUCCGAGUGUAGAGGUGAAAUUCGUAGAUAUUCGGAGGAACACCAGUGGCGAAGGCGGCUCACUGGCUCGGUACUGACGCUGAGGUGCGAAAGGCGUGGGGAGCAAACAGG
rnacentral:rRNA from 1 species